UACAGAGGUCUCAAGCGUUGUUCAGAUUCAUUGGGCGUAAAGGGAGCGUAGGUGGCGGGGUUAGUCAGGUGUGAAAUCUCGGGGCUCAACCCCGAAACUGCACUUGAUACUGCCUUGCUAGAGUACUGGAGAGGAGAUUGGAAUUUACGGUGUAGCAGUGAAAUGCGUAGAUAUCGUAAGGAAGACCAGUGGCGAAGGCGAAUCUCUGGACAGUUACUGACACUGAGGCUCGAAGGCCAGGGGAGCAAACGGG
rnacentral:rRNA from 1 species